AAAAUGAUUUAUCCAUUGUGUGGUUAAAAGAAAUGGAGAAGCCUGUUUAAUUAUUCAGGUGGCGCGCUUUUGAUCACAUGGCAAGAAAAGUUCUAGUUGAACAUUUCCAACUGUGAAGAUUAUUACAUGGCAUUUUCCAUAUCAGACCCUUUAUCGGCCCAAGGUCAUGAUAUCAGCCCAAGAGCCGCAGGCAGAAAACAGAAAAAACCCAACCCAUUACAGUAAUUGUUUAACAUGUUUAAACAGAGGAGCGGACAUCCUAGGAUAUUACACAUUGCAAAUACAUUCAGAUAAGCGUUUAUGUUUACCUGUUAAUUUGUUACAGAAGAUGGAUGUACUGUUGCAUUGGAUUGUUAUAUAUUUAUUCGUAAAUAUCAAAUCAAGUGUUAUCUCAGAAUCACUAACAUGGGAACGUGAGCCAUGUAUAAUGAGAAUCGGCGAACCAGUGACUUUGAUAUGUACCGUCCAUGGUGUAAAGACUAUUGACCAGAAUCUGACACGCCAAUGGUCAAAAGGGACCGAAUCGAUUGUAUACAAUGGACAUUUGGAUAAACCUUCAGAAUAUAAGGAGAUAUUAACCGCACAUAACCAGUUUGGGCUAUUGAUAGAAAACCUCACCGAGUCCGACUUGACAUCCAAUUAUCAAUGCCGGUAUAACUUCGAUACGUCAUCGAAAAAACUACAGAUAAAUGCAGAGAACUUCGAAUAUCCUCCCACUUUUGAAACAACAAACAUUGUGUACAACACUUCUAGCAGUGGAAAAAUAUAUAUUUCUCUUCAUUUUGUCAAAGUUUUUCCAUUGCCAAAUUGUUCUCUAGCUUUAGAGAAUAAAUAUUACCAAUGCAAAAAUUCCUCCAUAGUAAAGCAUAGCGUUUAUUACGAGGUCUUCUUGAACUGUGAAGUCAACAACUGCAACACCAAACCGCAGAUACGAUGCCAUUUGAUUGAAGAAUAUCCGAUACCAUGGACGACGUUUCAAGUUUGUAAAGAACAGAACAGGCCAGGAAAGACGGAUGAUUUCGAACUUGGCUAUGGAAAAAUGUAAUCUUUAGAGGGGUUUUGUUAAUAUCUUUUCAAUUGAGAUUCUAGAAGUGUACUUAUCAUCACAUUUGUGGCAUUUGGAGUAUUAUAUAUUGGACCUCAUUUUGGAGUGUAUUGCGCAUUUCUCUUCAAUCGAGAUAUACAAUGAGUGUUCCUUUUGGUGGUAUCAAUGACAGUUGGGGAGUUACUGUGGAUCCCAUUGCGAAGAAACAAAUACGGAUCUUUUAUGCAUAGACAUUCAUGAACUUAUCAUUGUGAAGAGGCAAAAAAAACCUCGGGUUUCGUUAUCGUAGAUUUAACAUGGAGUGGAUACUUGAUGAUAAUGUAAAUGUGAGUAAUUCAGAACACUUGACAUAAAUGAUACCUGCAAUGGAAUUUUGAAUGUUUAAUCUUUUGCAAAUAUUAUGAAAAGUUUUAUUUGGACUAUUUUAGUCAUGAUGUUGACACACGCAGCUUCAUUUUCCACCUGUUAGGUUUUGAGGUUAUCGCUACAGUCUGUUUUGUUAUGAAAACCAAAUAUUAUCAGUAUUAUUUUAGUCAACCAAAAAUCCUUUGUAAAUUAAAGGACAAUAUUCCUGAUUAAUACUUGAUUUUGCACUCAAUUUCCCCAUUUAUCAUUUUCCUCAAGAAAGCUUAUGAUUUCAGAGUGAUAAUAUUUUUCAUGAUUCAAUAUUCUGAUCGUUAUCAAAUGACACAAGUCUUUUUUUUUUUAUAAAUUACAGUUACAAGAUCAACAGAUAAUACGAAAUUUUUAAACACUUUAUGAACUGUGAGGAAUGAAACAAAAAUGAAAAAUGACAAAAAUACAAACAACAGUCUGCAGAUCAUUACUUAAAAAAACCUCAAGAUCAAUCUUAAACGAAUCCUACACAAACCGUGGGGGGUCUCUCGUGCUGGCGUCAGCAAAUGAAUAUGUACAUUCACCGACAUCUGGUGCAUCUUGAUUGAAUUGAGAUGAUGGUUUCCUCUCAACCAAACAACGGCUUGUAACUUUGAUAACAUAUUGUAUCCAAUCAGUGAUACCAGAAGGGUCAUUUGUCGGAUUCUAUGUGAAAAAACAUGCACUUAUUCGAAGACGGAUGUUUUUGCUUGUAUUUCUUCUGGACCAAAUUAACAUAUUGCCUUUGAUUAUGAUGUUGUAUCAUUAAGAAGAAACCAUUUAACUUCAAGAGGGGGUAUGAUUUUUAUUCUUAUUUUAUUGAAUUUUCAAAGCUAUCAAUCAUAUUAUUUUGUUGAAAAUUUAACACUAUAAGGUAUGGGGAAAAUCUGGAUUCAGAAUAUGUUUUUUGUCCUCUGCUUGAACAGAAUAUUUUUUAAAUUUUUAUUAAUUUGGGAAUCAGAAUAUUUUUUUGGGAAAAAAAAUGACCCCACCUUAAUGUUAAAUGGUCGUUCCCUUAAUAAUUAUAUCUUGUGGCAAAUUCAGUUUCCAUCCGAAAAAAAUAGUAGUUGACUGAGAUGAUUUAAUUCAGUGUGAAUAUAUUGAAUGAAGAUUCAGUAAUAGAUAGCAACACUCCCACGAAACUAUUUUAAAAGUAUUCUACCAAUACAUGCAAAUGAUAAGCAUAUGUCAAUGCUUGCUAAGACAUUAGCAAACCUAAUUUCUUGUUUUUGUCUGCAUAUGUUUUCCAGAAAAUAAUCACAUGUUGCAGACCAUAUUGAUAUCAAGUAUAAUUCCAACAGGCUGCCUAUUUGUUAUUAUUGCUAUAGUGAUAGUGAUUUGCUAUAAAAGAAAAUCAAAGUCUGCGAGAGCUGAUGUAGCUGAAGAUACAAUGCUUCCAACUAAAACAGGAGAAGCUAAGCAGUCAUAAUAUAUUAGAAACGGUGUGUUUAGUUGUAUAUGCAGUCGAAUGAAGACUAGAACUUGCUCUCUGGAUCAAAAUUUAUCAUUAGCUAUCAAACUAAAAGAAAGAUUUUAAAUGGGGAAAAUGACAGCUUAGAGAUUCGUAGAUACCAAUGGUGGCUGUUCUGUUUUGAGACAAUGUAUGGAAAUACACAUUGAUUAUUUUUUUUAUGAUUUAUUACUUAUCUAUACCAUCGUAUGUGUUCACUAUGCUUUUUUGUCUUUUUGUCUAGUCAUGGUACACAAUACUUUGUUUAUUACUACUUCCCCCCUUAAAUUUCCACAAACCUCACAGGUUUCACUUUGCAGAAACAAAAAAAACUGGAGAUUCAAAUACUCUAACAUCAUGAACAUUUUCAAUCACCCAAAUAAUUUAGUCUUUCCAUGGAUAUGCUUAGUAGUUUUUUUUUUAAAUUUCAUUACAAAUGGUCUUUCCUUUUUGUUAAAAUUCAUAUACGUAUGUCAUAUUCUCAACCAUAUUUAGGAUCAUCUAACUAUGCAAACAUUACAAAGAAGUAAAACAAUGUUUCUUAAUCAUGUUAAUGUCCAGUCAUACCUUUUUAUGACUAGAACUCGGAAAUGCACAACCAAACUACCAUGGAUAUGCUUAGUAGUUUUUUUUUUUUAAAUUUCAUUACAAAUGGUCUUUCCUUUUUGUUAAAAUUCAUAUACGUAUGUCAUAUUCUCAACCAUAUUUAGGAUCAUCUAACUAUGCAAACAUUACAAAGAAGUAAAACAAUGUUUCUUUAUCAUGUUAAUGUCCAGUCAUACCUUUUUAUGACUAGAACUCGGAAAUGCACAACUAAACUACAAAGAUGGUUAAGUCUAAUGACACAUUUAUUUUUUGUUUCUUUUUGUUUGUAUUAUAAGUCAAAGUUAUUCUGUUCUUACACAUUUAGAAUAAACACAAUGAUGUUAUCAUCUUAUCACGUAAUCAUAAUACAAGAGUGUAUUGUGUGUCAAAAUAUGAGAUUAACGUCUGAACAUUUUUUUAUUAUUCGAUGAUUCAAAUUCUUUAUUGUUAUUUUAGUGUUUCACAUGUUUCUAUAAUAAUAUUUAAACAGCAUUUUAACAGAUUUAAAAGCACAUACAAGCAAUUGAUUUUGCAUAAAUAUUUGAAUCUUGAAGCCUACUAUACAUGCUAUUGUGAAGUUCAAUUUUACCCUUAAAUCUAUUAAAAUCAGUUAUCUAUUAGUUAUAACCUAAAUAUACUUCUACUUUGUGUACAUUAUUUUUUUGUUAAUUUUUAAUGUUAUUUGGCAUAUUUGGAUCGAUUUUAGUCGAAAUUUUAUAUUAUUUUUUACUCUGAAUUCAUGUUUUACGUUCAAGGAAUAUACUAUUCUAUGUGCAAUUAUAAUUAUAAUGUUACAGGUAUUACAAUAUAAUUAUCUGUAAUAAUCGUUCUACUAAAGCAUUAUUAGGUAUGUGUUCUUUUGAAUUCGGGGUUCAAAUUGUGUAAACCAAAUAACAUCGACAUUUCAUCUAAACCAAUUUGUUUAUUCAUUUCAUUUAAACGCUGAAGGUUUGACCUUUUAGAUAGGGACUGUUCAGGUUUAGUAUCAAAUCUAAAGAUUGUUUCAAUUACCUGAUAUACUUAACCUCAGUACAUAUUUGUUGGGAACAAUUAUUUAUGAUUUUGACAUUAAAAAUAAGGUAGUUUGAUAUCUUCCUUAACGCAACAAAUGAACAGAUAACGAAAGAAACCAUUCUUUUUUUUAAUUUUGUAUAACAAUUGUACAUAUGUAUUUUCAAUUCGUCGAAUCGGUUUGAAAUUCUGUUCUCAUUCCCUAACAAAUUAAAGAAGACAAUACAAUCCUUCAUACUGAGGAUUUUGUUUGAAAGUUUUUUGUCAUAUCUAGGGGACAACAAAUGAACGCAACUAGUUAAUCAUUUUUUUUUUGCCAAAAAGAAAUAAAAAAAGAAACACCCUUGGUGAGAACGGUGUUUGGUAAUUAUGAUGAAUUUUAUUAUGCUACCUUUUUUGUCACGUACGUCUGCGGCUCAAACGUAUCUCUCUUUAAUAUUUCGGAAAGAUAAUUCCCUCCGAGAUAAAUCGAGAUUAACGAAACGCCGAUGCAUUGUCUACUACAUUAAAUUGACAUUUUCUAGUAACAAGUUACAAUCUAACGUCGGAAUUCGAUUUGAUUUCCUCCUGAAUAUUCCAUGAAGAUGGGCAUUUUGAUUAAAAGAAAAGAUGGCGUUCCAUCUAAGACAUAUUAAACUUCAAAGAAUAGGCGAGGGAUCAAAAUAGUUUCGUUGACACAAGAUCUUCCCAGAACAUGUAUGUCGAACUUAACGUUUCGUUUCUUUUUUGUGUUUUGGGUAUUUUAUACAUGUGCAUCUAUAUAUAACUUUGGUAUAUAUAUUUUAAAAAAGUAAAUUCGCUUAAAAGUAGCUUGAAUAUUAAAACGGUUGCAUAAUACACUGUUAUAAAGCAUGUUUCUGUUUAUUUACUAUUUGAUAAAAUGUAUCUGUUUUUAGCUCACCUGGCCCAAUGGUCCAAGUGAGCUUUUCUCAUCACUUGGCGUUCGUCGUCCGUCGUCGUCCGUCGUUUGUUAACUUUUACAAAAAUCUUCUCCUCUGAAACUACUGGGCUAAAUUUAACCAAAAUUGGCCACAAUCAUCAUUGGGGUAUCUAGUUUAAAAAAUGUGUCUGAUGACCCGGCCAACCAACCAAGAUGGCCGCCAUGGCUAAAAAUAGAACAAGGGGUAAUAUGCAGAUUUUGGCUUUUAUCUCUGAAACUAAAGCAUUUAGAGCAAAUCUGACAUGAUAAUAAUGUUUAUCAGGUCAGGAUCUAUCUGCUCUAAAAUUUUCAGAAAAAUCGGACAAUCUGUUGUUGGGUUGCUGCCCCUGAAUUGGUAAUUUUAAGGAAAUUUGCAGUUUUUUGUUAUUAUCUUGAAUAUUAUUAUAGAUAUAGAUAAACUGAAAGCAGCAAUAAUAUUCAGCAAAGUAAGAUCUACAAAUAAAUCAACAUGACCAAAAUGGUCAAUUGACCCCUGAAGGAGUUAUUGCCCUUUAAAGUCAAUUUUUAACAAUUUUUCGUAUUUUCUUUUAAUCUUUUACAAAUGUCUUCUCCUCUGAAACAACUGAGACAAAUUUAACCAAACUUUGCCACAAUCAUCAUUAGGAUCUCUUGUUGAAAAAAUGUGUCUGAUGACCCUGCCUGCCAACCAACAUGGCAGACAUGGCUAACAAAAAUACAUAGGGGUAAAAUGCAGAUUUUGGCUUAUAUCUCUGACACUAAAGCAAAAGUAUAACGGUUGCAUUAUUUCAUGAAUGAAUUGUAAAUAAAAAUAUCAGGUGAGUGACACAGGCUCCUUGGAGCCUCUAGUUUUAUAUACACAAUACAAAGGCAGCUUCUUGAUUGAAUAUUGCAUGUAUUAAAACCCAACCAUUUUUUCUUUAUUAUAUAUUUUUGUAAAUGCUGAGACGUUAAGAUUGUUUUAUACAUUUUGUGCAUUCGAGACAAUUUUGCAAUUUUACAUAUUAUGUGUUCAGAUAUUUAACAUGUUAAACAAGUAAAAUGUAAUGUCAGUG